rnacentral:lncRNA from 1 species
GCGAGCGACUCGAGGUCCUCCGUGAGAGUGUCGUACGCUGGCGUUCUUUAUGGAUGAUGAAUAUCGAGUUUGCGCUUCUGUUUCGUUAUGAAGACAAACACGUGGUUCCGCGUCUGUGCGUUGCUGAAGAUGAAGCAACUUGGAUCGUUGCGUUGCAAGGAAGAUGAUACUCUGAUGCAUGCGAAGAAGAUGAUACUCUGAUGCGUGCAAAGAAGGUGAUACUCCGAUGCGUGAGGAGAAGAUGAUACUUUGAUGCUUGCGAAGAAGGUAAUACUUCGAUGCGUGCGAAGAAGGUUAUACUCCGAUGCAUGCGAAGAAUAUGAUGGCCGUGAUUCUGGAAAAAGAAAACUAGAGGCGACCCUAUUUCCUUGCUCAUUCUAGUAUUUAUAGACUUGUGAAGGUUGCAUUUGGGUGAGUUUGUAAGCUGCAUUUUGCUUCUACAAUGUCGUUUCCGUUGUUCGCUUAUUGUGUUAUGUGUUUUGGAUUCAGUUGGCUUGUGUGCAAUUUCAAUUUCCUGCGUUUUGGUUAUUUAAGUUGUUGUUACUACUGUGUUUUAUUCUGCUGUAGUUUCAUUUGUUUCCAUUUACUCAUGUGUGGAUUGCUGUUUACAGCCUGGCUUGCGUUGUGGUGCUGCAUCAUUUUGGAUUUUACGUAUUUGGACUUGCAUUUCA